rnacentral:rRNA from 1 species
UGGAGCAUGUGGUUUAAUUCGAUGCAACGCGAAGAACCUUACCAGGGUUUGACAUCCUGCGAACCCCUGAGAAAUCGGGGGGUGCCUUCGGGAGCGCAGAGACAGGUGGUGCAUGGCUGUCGUCAGCUCGUGUCGUGAGAUGUUGGGUUAAGUCCCGCAACGAGCGCAACCCACGUCGUUAGUUGCCAGCAUUCAGUUGGGCACUCUAGCGAGACCGCCGGUGAUAAACCGGAGGAAGGUGUGGAUGACGUCAAGUCAUCAUGCCCCUUACAUCCUGGGCUACACACGUACUACAAUGCUACGGACAAAGGGCAGCAAACUCGCGAGAGCUAGCAAAUCCCAUAAACCGUGGCUCAGUUCAGAUCGUAGGCUGCAACUCGCCUACGUGAAGGAGGAAUCGCUAGUAAUCGCAGGUCAGCAUACUG